rnacentral:rRNA from 1 species
UACGAAGGGGGCUAGCGUUGUUCGGAAUUACUGGGCGUAAAGCGCGCGCAGGCGGUCUUCCAAGUCAGUGGUGAAAGCCCGGAGCUCAACUCCGGAACUGCCAUUGAAACUGCAAGACUUGAGGAUGAGAGAGGUGAGUGGAAUUCCCAGUGUAGAGGUGAAAUUCGUAGAUAUUGGGAAGAACACCGGUGGCGAAGGCGGCUCACUGGCUCAUUACUGACGCUCAGGCGCGACAGCGUGGGGAUCAAACAGG